GGACAGAAGAGUAGAAAAAAAGAGAGUCUUGGCUACCCUGAAAGAAGGAUUCUGGCUGUAGGGUAAUUAACGGAUUUUGAUUCUUUUGUUUUGUUGUUUCGGGACUGUGCUAUAAGUUUUCUGUUUAUUUUUUUUCUGGAUUAUCUUAUUGUUUAUGUACUGCUCCAACUUUUUUGUGACUGCUUUUCAUGCCCUGUCAUAUUGGGCUUUUUUUUUUUAAAGCUACCGACACUGCGAAACUCAUUGGGAUUGUAGAAAGGUUUUUUUGAGCUGUAUACAUCUUUUUAUUUUUUUUGGUUGUGCUUGUGUUUGGCCGGGCUACAUUGCAGGGGCUGUCCAGGUUUGAGCAGACGGUGCCAGGAGUCCUGUGACCUGUGAAGAGAGAGAAGGGAAGUGGCGUUCAUUAUUAUUCGUUUAUUCUUUUGAGACUUUGAUAUAUUACAAACUGUACAUCCAUAACUUAUUUACCCACCCUGAGUUGGCUCUGUGUUCUGUCAGGGUACGCCUGAAGCCCACCAGGGUGAUACUUACUGGUUCCAUGUCAGAGAUUGAGGUCCAUGGGUCCAUUCCAGGGGGUCGAAGUCCAGUGGUCCAGUCCAGGGUGCAACAGUCGGGUUCCAGAACCGGAGAGAGAGAGGGAAAUACGCGAGAGUCAGAGGAUCUCCAUCUUUAUCUUCUUCAGUGGGUCGGCGUAUCGUUGCAGUGAGGUCCAUUGGCGGUUCGAUACGUGGGACAGUGGACAUCGGGACGAGUGGGCAGCUGAGCGGUUUGGGAACCAACUUUAAUCAGAUUUCCAAUACUUUUACUGGACUUUUUGUGUGGCAGCUAAGCACGAACAUUAUUUUUAUAUAUAUUUUUUUAGAGACUUUUACCAACAGGAGGGGAUUACCUCAGUUUGUAUUUUUUUGGGUUCUCCCUCAUUUUUAACUGAGUUUGUGUGUGUGGUUUUUAAAGAGCAUUUUUACCCUGUUGAGAAACAAUAAAAUUUGUUUUAACCUAC